UCUUGAGAUAAACAGUUUGUGUUGUUUUUCCCAGUUUAUGAACAGGAUUAAUUUCCACCCUCAGAGUGUUUCAUUCCCAGCUCCUGAUUGGAACAGGGAGAGUGGAUCCCCAGCAUGUUGCUGAUCCUUUUCUCCAUCUCCCUGUGUUUUUCCUGGGUCUCUCCCGGAAUCCACAUUUUCCAAUGGACAGAGAUUGUUGAGAUCACUGAAGACGGCUUCAUGAAGAGAUCGAUCCUGUCAAAUUGAACACAGCAGCUUGGCAGAGACCCAGCUCUAUCAGUGGGAUUCACCAAGUGUAACUUACACAACAGCUCAGAGUAAGUGACUGAGGGACAGAUUGUUGGGAAUGAAAUACAUUUACAUUUUCUGCACAUUUCUCUCAUUCUAAUUUAUCUCAGUUUUAAAAGGUCCUUAAAUGUAUUUGGGUUUUUAUUAGGAGUUUUCUGACUCAAUAUAAAAGACUCUGAAACACGUCAAUUGGGUCAAUCGAUGGGAUAAAAUCCCAUUUCCAGAGCUUGGACAGGUGAAGGGUCAGUCUCCAACCCUCUCCUGUUAAAGUGUCGGGGAUUGUGUUGGUCGCUUCCCCAUUGCAGAACUUUCCCCUGCAGGAAGGACUGACCCUUCACCUCACUGACCAGAUUGUUCCAGAAAUCGAUGGAAUGGAGGAUCCAACAUGGAUGUGACUGGAUCCAGGCCUCACGGAGAAGCUGAGGAAACUCCGACUGCAGCUGUUGGGGCAGCUGGAGAGCAGCUGGGGGCUGAUACAUUUGGAUAUUGAGAGUGAGAAAAUCCCUCUCCCUCCCCCAGGAAAUCAGACCAAAGAGCAGUGUAGAUGGAGAGUGAAACAAGUUUUAUUUUAUUUUAUUUUAACAGCAAAUCCCCAUUGCAAGACCUUCGAAGUAAUCAGUGUUGAACAAUGUAAACCUCAGAAAAUUGGUCUAAAACAUUUCAUAACAUUUAUGUUAAUGAGUUAUUUUUCUACUUUGUAAAUUGUUGUAAUCUUAAAUGUUUCAUGUUAAUAAAAGUUAUUUUGAAUUA